UACGUAGGGGGCAAGCGUUGUCCGGAUUUAUUGGGCGUAAAGAGCGUGUAGGCGGCCAGGUAGGUCCGCUGUGAAAACUCGAGGCUCAACCUCGAGAUGUCGGCGGAAACCAUCUGGCUAGAGUCCGGAAGAGGAGAGUGGAAUUCCUGGUGUAGCGGUGAAAUGCGUAGAUAUUGGGAGGAACACCAGUGGCGAAGGCGGCUCACUGGACCGGUUCUGACGCUGAGGCGCGAAAGCGUGGGGAGCAAACGGG
rnacentral:rRNA from 1 species